UAGCUGCCACGAGCUUAUGCGUGGGAUUUGUACAGUCUUGGACUGGGUCAUGAACCUGGUUAGUCCAACGCCAGAAGUAAGAAGUCUGAAGACUUGGGAAUCAGAGUAAUACGUGAAUGAAUCACGAAAUGUGAAAAAGGAUUUAUGUAUACAAAAUGGUUUGUGUAUAUAUUUGUUAUUUGUUGAGCCUUUGAAAUGAUGAAAUGACAUAUAUUUUGAUGCAUUGAUUAUUUUAUGAUUUUUACUGUGUGUGGCUGUUGGGAUUCUUACUGGGCUGGAAAAGCUCAUACUACUCUUACUUUCUUUUUCAGAGGCACUGAAUUUGUAGAGUCCAUCGGGUGGGACGAGAAAUGAGAUCGACAAGGAGUCUGACUGCUAGAUAGUAGAAGCAGCAUAUCUUUUAUUGAUGGACAUUUGAAAUUAUGUAAGAAAUCAGUACAUUUUAGUUGGUUUAGUUUGAAUACAUUAAUUAUGGAUUUAUUGAAAAUUUUUGUGUAUCUUAGGCCUUGCAU
rnacentral:lncRNA from 1 species